rnacentral:misc_RNA from 1 species
UCCCCGUUACCGGGGCAGUCUGAUUAGAAAAAUCCAACUAAUCAUAAGGGUUGCGCUCGUUGAUGGACUUAACCAAACAUCUCACGACACGAGCUGACGACGGCCAUGCAACACCUGUCACUUGGUUCCCGAAGGCACUCUCUGCUUUCACAGAAAUUCCAAGGAUGUCAAACCCUGGUAAGGUUCUUCGCUUAGCCUCGAAUUAAACAACACGCUCCACCGCUUGUGCGGGUCCCCGUCAAUUCCUUUGAGUUUUAAUCUUGCGACCGUACUCCCCAGGCGGGAUACUUAACGCGUUAGCUUCGUUACUGACCGGGUCGAUACGGCCAACAACUAGUAUCCAUCGUUUACGGCGUGGACUAC